rnacentral:rRNA from 1 species
GAUGAACGCUGGCGGCGUGCCUAAUACAUGCAAGUAGAGCGAACAGACGAGGAGCUUGUUCCUCUGACGUUAUCGGCGGACGGGUGAGUAACACGUGGAUAACCUACCUAUAAGACUGGGAUAACUUCGGGAAACCGGAGCUAAUACCGGAUAAUAUAUUGAACCGCAUGGUUCACUAGUGAAAGACGGUUUUGCUGUCACUUAUAGAUGGAUCCGCGCCGCAUUAGCUAGUUGGUAAGGUAACGGCUUACCACGGCAACGAUGCGUAGCCGACCUGAGAGGGUGAUCGGCCACACGGGAACUGAGACACGGUCCAGACUCCUACGGGAGGCAGCAGUAGGGAAUCUUCCGCAAUGGGCGAAAGCCUGACGGAGCAACGCCGCGUGAGUGAUGAAGGUCUUCGGAUCGUAAAACUCUGUUAUUGGGGAAGAACAAAUGUGUAAGUAACUAUGCACGUCUUGACGGUACCUAAUCAGAAAGCCACGGCUAACUACGUG